UACAGAGGGUGCGAGCGUUGUUCGGAAUUAUUGGGCGUAAAGGGCGCGUAGGCGGUGCGGUAAGUCACCUGUGAAAUCUCCUGGCUCAACUGGGAGCUUGCAGGCGAAACUGCCGUGCUGGAGUGUGGGAGAGGUGCGUGGAAUUCCUGGUGUAGCGGUGAAAUGCGUAGAUAUCAGGAGGAACACCUGUGGCGAAAGCGGCGCACUGGACCACAACUGACGCUGAGGCACGAAAGCUAGGGGAGCAAACAGG
rnacentral:rRNA from 1 species